GUUGCAAAGUGGCGCCACGUAGCGGUAAAGCUUAAUCAUUAUCUCUAAGCGGGAUGCAAUGAUUAAAUGAUGAUUGAUCGUUUCAUUAAUGUAAGAAGGAUGUGCAAUAACCAAAUAAUUUGUAAGAUUGCAUCGAAUUAUUGAUUAACGUAACUCGUGUUCGAGUGAGCACAUUAUUUAUUAACGAAUAUAACAAUGCGUGAGAAAGAAAGAAAAACGCUUUGAUAAUGAGUUCGUUUUUAUAUUUGUAAUCAAGAAAAAAAGAAGAAAAUAAAAAAGGAAAUAAAAAAUAUUCAAUGGAUAUUUCAUCUUUUAUAGUGAAAACCGAACGGACGCAUAAAUACGUCCUGGACAAUGGCGAUGGCCAAGGUACAUGCGUAGCUUCGACAAAAGGAAUGUACUUUAUAUAGUGCCCGCGAAGAUUACAUUGAACAUGGAUUCUGCCUUGUCAAACGUUGUUGGAAAAGGAACUGGGACGGAUGUCCGGCUGUCUGGAAAGUCCAUGGCAUUCAAACGAAGCCACGAACCAUGCGCCAUCAUAGAAUGUGUCGAUUCGAUUUAGAAGCAACAUAAUCUCCAUUUGAGUUAACCAAUAAUCGGCUUAUUGAUUUUGAUUUGUACCAUUAAAGUCUAUCUCAUUGUUGUACAACGAAUUAAAAUACUUAAGGGGGUAUUGAAAAAACACUGUCGAAAAAUCUCGAAUAACGCAACCGUGCUUUCUCUAAAUGAAUAUGAAAAGACCUAAGCGGUGCGAUAGCGCUUCUUAUAUUUUAUGUUCUGCACGUAUAAGAUGUGUUAGAUAACGUGAUUUUCGUCUUUUUCACAUCGCUCGUCACAUUUCUUGCAGUUGACAAAGUGAUUUGAUUUA